UAUGUGUUUCUUAUGCGGUUACAACGGUGACAAUGCGCCUAAUUUGCUGUCUGACAUGCAGCAUGAUCGGUGGGGGUUGAAAGUGUGGCGAUGCCAAUGUCAGAGACUGAACUUGUUAGGUUGGUUCUCACAGUAAAAGUGUACCAAAUGGACCAUGGGAGUUCCCCAACGAAGAAAUGUAAGUCUGUUGUGGAUGAAGAUUUCCUCAGCAAUCUACCUGAAGCUCUCAGAGACAAAAUCCUUUGUUGUCUGCCAAUAAAAGAAGCUGUUGGAACAUGCCUCUUGUCAAGGAGUUGGAGGUACACACGGGCUUCAAUGACCGAACUGAUGUUCAGAAGAGCUGAUUUUGCUUCAGGAAAUGACAGUGCAGACGGUGACCGCAGAUUUCUUAAGUUCACCGAUAUGUUUCUCUUCCUCCACAACGGCCCAAUUCUGAAGUUUGGCCUGAAUACCAUAGCAAAUGAAAUGGUAUCCACUGGAGGACACCUUUACCGUUGGAUGCUUAUGCUGUCAAGAAAUAAGAUUAAGGAGAUUCAACUUCAGACAAGUAUACGUGACAGUUACAAGGUCCCGUCUAGUUUUUUCUCCUGCGAUGAACUAGAAUAUGUGUAUCUGCGAGCUUGUGUUUUCACUAGUUUACAUUUGCCGCAUCUAUCUGAAGGCUUCAAACAAUUGCAUACUCUUCGUCUAGAACAUGUCACUGUGCAAGGAAACAGUUUAGGGGAUUUAGUAGCGAGUUGCCCGAAUUUGGAGAAACUUAAUAUUCGUGGAUUGUGUAGCAAAUCCAAUAUCAAUAUUCGUUCAACAAAGCUCAAGAUGCUAAAAAUUGAAGGCCAGUUUACACACCUCAAUCUGCAUGCUCCUUAUCUUACUUCCAUAUGGAUCAGACUGGAGCUGAAAUCUGAGACAGAUGGUGCUUCGACGGCCAGAUGCAACUUCAAUCUUUCUCCAUUUAUUGCUUCUCUUUCAGAUGUUGAGACUAUUAGGUUUCAUGGACACAUCCUUGAGUGCGUAGAACAUGAAUUUCUGAUUCUCAAGCAGCCAAAAUUAUUCAACCGGCUGACAGAGAUAAGCCUGGAGAUCAAUCUCGGUGAUCUCAAGGAAGCAAAUUUUGCCUUGUGCUUAUUUCAGCAAGCCCCCAACCUGCGAUUUGUCAAACUAAAGCUCAUUUCCAGGAAUUCCGUGGUACCAACAGUGCAUUUCUGGGAAUCAAUAGACCGUGAUGUCUGUCUCUUCCAGAACGUUGAAGUACUUGGUUUGUUCGACUAUACUGGCUCCAUUGCGGAGCUAGGCUUCUUGAAACUUUUACUUGAAGAUGCACCAGUGUUAAGAAAAGUGGGAAUAAUCGACAAGGGAUUGGACAGAAAUGUCCUAAAAAAUCUCCUGAAGCUAGAAGAGCAUCAAAGGAUGCAGAAAUAUUGAUUCUUGAGGCUUGUUUCCCCCACUAGAAA